UUGCAGCAGUUCGAUCCCAUUAAAGCCCUUAGUGAAAAAAAUUCCAAAAACCUGCAUAUGUUUUCAACUCAAUACUAGUCCUAACUCAAAACACCAUCAAACUUAAAACCAAUAAAAAGACUGAUCCAGACACACAAGAAACCGUAAAAUCAAACGAUCAAAAUUUCAGGAGCAAGAAAAUAAUCAACUUUAUCUGAGAAACUCAUAGCAAAUUGUUCGUGGUACGUUGGCUCUACCACACUCUGUUAAAAAGGAUGUGAGAGUGGCUUUCUUUGCCGAGGGUUCUGAUGCAGAGGAUGCAAAGGCUGCAGGAGCUGAUGUCGUCGGUGGUCUUGAGCCUAUUGAUGAAAUCUUGAAAAGCGGCAAGAUCGACUUUGACAGAUGCUUAGCAACUCCGAAAAUGAUGCCCCGUGUUUACAAGAUAUCAAGGAUUCUUAACAACCAUGGUUUGAUGCCUAACCCCAAAGUAAGUUGGAUUCUUCACUCAAACAUUUUACUCUCGAUGUAUCAGUUGGUGUAUACUUAUAUGUUG